rnacentral:lncRNA from 1 species
AUGCACAGGAAGAGCUUCAUGCGCAGGUAAAACAACCUCCUCAACCCUAGCAUCAUCAUCAACAGCCUAAAAAAAUCAUUUAGAAAACAAAUACCUAAUCAGCAGAAGUUCAGAUUGCACAAUCACAGAAGGUUAGCUAUCACAACUGACACAUAAUGGAAGUCCUGAUACAGUAAAAAUAGCAGGUCAGAUAUGAAACUACUCUAAGAUACAAGAGGGAACAAAAAAGGGUCAGUCAUCGAAGUCAUGGAAGUUCAGGUGCUGUAGCAGCUUAAGUUCAGGUUCAAUAAAUAGAUAAGGUCACCUAGGAACACUAGUGCUAAAAAGAAACAGUUUACGACACAUCAAAUCAACAACGCUCACCUAUGACCACAAACAGUAAUAACUUAAAGCUAACAUUUAACAUUGAACAUUAGUGCAAACCUCUUUGGUAUGCUCCACGUGACCUCCUUCACGACCCAAACGAACAGAAUCCUGCAUCUGAAUCUGUCUCACAACAACACUUGCCUCAUCUUCAAAAGGCUUGCAACGAGCAUCCUGCAUUUCCUUGAACAGCACAACACUACUCCGGAGGUGGGAAGUGGUCUGACGAAGCUCUUCAAGAAAUUUAGCUUCAGUACAUAAGACCUCCUUCGAAGACUCAGCAU